ensembl:lncRNA
GUUCACCACAAGACUAAUAAUGUGCACAGAGUACAUUCAGAUUUCAUGUGGAAUUUAAAUAAGAUAUUGUACACUGAUGGAUAUGGACCCUUUUCACAUUUCUUCAGUUGGUAAACUCCUAUAAUAGUGAACGGGAACACUGACCCCAAAUUACUGACCAGUAGUGUAUAUUGUUAUUACAAAAUAUUUAUAUUUUAAAAACAUAGCUUCUUUUUUUUUUUUUUUUUACUUUUUAUUCAUCAAAGUAUCCUAAAAAAGUAUCACAUAUUCUGAAAAAAUAUUAAGCAGAAGAACUGUUUCCAACUUUGAUAAUGAAUCAUCAUAUUAGAAUGAUUUCUAAAGGAUCAUGUGAUAAUGAUCCUAAAAAUUCAGCUUUGCAUCACAGAAAUAAAUUAUAAUUUAAAGUAUAAUAAAUUUAAAAACAAUUAUUUUAAAUUGUAAUAAUAUAUCACAAUAUUAAAUUUUUUUCUGUAUUUUUGAUUAAAUAAAUGCAGGCUUGAUGAGCAGAAGAAACUUCUUUCAAAAACAUUAAAAAUAGUAAUGUUUCCAAACUUUUGGUCUGUACUAUUUUUUUUGUGUGUUCUCAUUUGCAACAAUAGCAAAAGAAAAAUCCAUGAUGGCUUUCCAAAAGAGGGAAAAGGGAAAGGGUCCAUUAUAAUAAAUUUGCAGUAACAUGGUAGUAAAGAAAUAUUUUACUCAGUUUAGACGAGAUCUCAUGUUUAUUUUACAGUUACUGCAGGGUAAACACUGUAUAACGACGGUAUCUGCUGAAUAGCGUGAGCUGUGGAAUAUUCGUGAAAUGGUUUUCUUCUCGUGUGGCUCUGAUCAUAUCCACUAGCGAGCGCUGUUUCUCUUAAAGUCCUCAGCCUUCGCCGUGGUUCCUUUUGUCCGCAGUUUUGUAGUCAACAUCCUUAUUAUAAACUACUCUCAGAGCCCUCCAAUAGGAGACGAGAAUCCCGGACAGACAGCGACUCCCACCAAUGACAGCCCGAGCUCGAUUUCCGCCAGCCAAUCAGCGACGCGGAGGCGGGCUCGUAGAGGGGAGGGUUCGCAUGUUUCACUACGUUGGCUUUUCUCCCAGAAAGAUUUCGGUGUGGGAAUUUAAAUUGUACAUUUCUGAGGCGGUCGGAGGCUCUUUAACCGGAGACCACAUCCUCGAAGAUUCGCCGAGCGCGUCCAGACUCAAUAAGUGCCGGUGCUCUGACCGGGACACACAUCACAGUAUGUUAAGAGGCGUAACAUUUCCGUCACACGCUUGA